CGCGUCGAGUGCGGAUCCAGACCUGCUUCCUGGAUGACACACAGAGGCACAGCCCAACUCUUAGGACUUGCAGUGUGGAGGACUACGUAUCCAACAAAAGAACAUUUCAGAAAUGACUGGCCAGAACUGGACAGUGGUGCAAAAGAGUGACAUGCAAGACAUAAAAUAAGAAAGACAAGUGGAGUUCCCCAUAUCCAGAAGUGUUUUGAUUUUGGAUUAUUAUUAUUUUCAGAUUUUGGAACAUUAUGCUCUAUCUUGGGGUGCAUCUACACCAUGAAAAGUCAACUGGUGUAAUACGGAAACACAGGUUUUUAAGAAAACAAUUUACAUAUAAGUAUUAUGUUGAUAUUGUGUAUAUAUCAUAGGGGGUCCUUUUUGCAUAUCUAUUUUGGUGUUUUCUAGUUGUACUUCUGGAUUUUUCUUUUCCUAUGUUUACAGUACAGGAGUACUAAUGCACUGAGAAAUCCCGGCAGAGCCAAUGACACACAACAAACUAGAGACUUUCAUGUACUUUCGAAAUAUACUAAGAAGAACAAUACCGGAAAAAGGACUAUGUACCUAGGAUUACCUUGUUGUAUUUACUCUUGAACUACAAGAUGCCACCGUUAUUACCCUUGUUGAACUCUUGAAUACCACCUGUAUCAGUAUAGUGAAUAAAUACAGACUUUAAAUAAUC